rnacentral:sRNA from 2 species
GAGGAUGAGAACCUCCGGGGGCAGAGGUUCGACCCGAGCGCAGCGAGAGAACGUUGCUUCAGCAACGGCCCGCAGGGCGAGCCACGCAGUGGCGAAGUCAUCCUC